rnacentral:rRNA from 1 species
UACAGAGGGUGCAAGCGUUAAUCGGAAUUACUGGGCGUAAAGCGUGCGUAGGUGGUUUUUUUAAGUCAGGUGUGAAAUCCCUGGGCUCAACCUGGGAACUGCAUUUGAUACUGGAAAGCUAGAGUGUGGUAGAGGAUGGUGGAAUUCCCGGUGUAGCGGUGAAAUGCGUAGAUAUCGGGAGGAACAUCAGUGGCGAAGGCGGCCAUCUGGACCAACACUGACACUGAGGCACAAAAGCGUGGGGAGCAAAUAGG